UACGUAGGGUGCGAGCGGUAAUCGGAAUUACUGGGCGUAAAGCGUGCGCAGGCGGUUUUGUAAGUCAGAUGUGAAAUCCCCGGGCUUAACCUGGGAAUGGCAUUUGAGACUGCAAGGCUCGAGUGCGGCAGAGGAGACUGGAAUUCCUGGUGUAGCAGUGAAAUGCGUAGAUAUCAGGAAGAACACCAGUGGCGAAAGCGGCUCUCUGGGGAACACCUGACGCUGAGGCGCGAAAGCGUGGGGAGCGAACCGG
rnacentral:rRNA from 1 species